rnacentral:rRNA from 1 species
AGAGUUUGAUCCUGGCUCAGGAUGAACGCUAGCUACAGGCCUAACACAUGCAAGUCGAGGGGCAGCGCAGGAGAUGCUCGCAUCUCCGGGCGGCGACCGGCGGAUGGGUGAGUCACGCGUAUCCAACCUGGCCUUCGCGCGGGAAUAGCCCUUGGAAAUGAGGAUUAAGACCCGAUACGCGCAGUGUCCGCAUGGCCGCUGCGUGAAGUUAUGCGGAGGAUGGGGAUGCGUUGGAUUAGCUAGAUGGCGGGGCAACGGCCCACCAUGGCUACGAUCCACAGGGGUUCUGAGAGGAAGGUCCCCCACACUGGCACUGAGACACGGGCCAGACUCCUACGGGAGGCAGCAGUGAGGAAUAUUGGUCAAUGGGCGAGAGCCUGAACCAGCCAAGUAGCGUGCAGGAUGACGGCCCUACGGGUUGUAAACUGCUUUUGCUGGAGAAUAAAACGCCCCACGCGUGGGGCCUUGCAUGUAUCCAGUGAAUAAGGACCGGCUAAUUCCGUGCCAGCAGCCGCGGUAAUACGGAAGGUCCGGGCGUUAUCCGGAUUUAUUGGGUUUAAAGGGAGCGCAGGCGGAGGAUCAAGCCAGCCGUCAAAUGUCGGGGCUCAACCCCGUUGAGCGGUUGGAACUGGUUCCCUUGAUUGCGGGAGAAGAAGGCGGAACUCGUGGUGUAGCGGUGAAAUGCAUAGAUAUCACGAAGAACUCCGAUUGCGAAGGCAGCCUUCCGGCCCGCCAAUGACGCUCAUGCUCGAAGGCGCGGGUAUCAAACAGGAUUAGAUACCCUGGUAGUCCGCGCAGUAAACGAUGAGUGCCCGCCUUCUGUGGGAAGUCCAUGGGAGGCCAAGCGAAAGCGUUAAGCACUCCACCUGGGGAGUACGCCGGCAACGGUGAAACUCAAAGGAAUUGACGGGGGCCCG